rnacentral:tRNA from 1 species
GCGGGCAUAACUCAGCAGGAAGAGUGCAAGCUUCCCAAGCUUGAUGCCGCGGGUUCGAUCCCCGUUGCCCGCUCCA